CCAGGGUAAUAACUCUCAUUAUAUUAAGAAGUAAUUUUACAAUAACCAGUUCAAGAAUCAAUUUGUAAAACUAUACAAUCUAUCUCAAAAUACAAUGAAGCUUUUUACCCUAAAUAACAAAAUCCCUUGGUUAUAGAUGCAAGAUCCCAUUGUUUCAAUGUUGAACUCCCUUCAACAAUAUCUCAUAUCCGAAUACCUUCAAAUCUAUAGCAUCAAGACCCAACUGAACUCCUUCAGCAAUCACGGCUUGAUUCCAGAGCUUGUACAUAAACCUUCAACCACCAUCAAUGGAGUUUCUUGCCAGAAUCUGCAAAAAUCAAUAGAAGAAAGGGAAGAGAAAAUACAAAGCACACUAUGCAAUCAUCCAAUCUAAGAGAGUUGGUUAUAACUAAUUAACCAGCCAAUAUAUAUACUUAGUUGCAAUUAGGUAUAAACCAGAAAACAAACAACAACUGUUAAUCACUAACAACCUUGCUAUACACACAAGCUGACGUGGACACUUACUAAAAACGAACAAACUCCAGACAUAACAUAGACUAUUCCAGACACGACUGGACCUAAUUUUUCAUACUGAAAAUAUUGGUCCUUACAACGGUUAAUCUCCAUAAUAAAAAUGGGCAUAGGAGUAGUACCUCAAGAAACCUGGGAACACUCACUAUCCAUGCAGAAGAAACAAUUGCUUCAAAGAGUGUUGUUGAUAUAGUAUUCUGUUGUUCUAAUUUGGAUAACAAAGACUUAUUUUCUAAAAGUGUAUGUAUUUUUGCAUAUAUAGCACCUUGUUGAAAUCUAUUUUAUUUGGUGUGCAUUCCACACCAUGUUCAAUUUUCUUUACACUUUUCUUCUUAUUUUCGUUAUAGGAUCCUUUCUUAAAAAUUUCUAGAAUUGUUGAGAGGGGAGGCUCCAUUCCAAUUUGCAAGACAGAAGUAAUUGACAAUAACUUAAACCCCAUUUGGAAACCAUUAUCUCUGAAUAUGCAUCAAUUUGGAAGCAAGGAUAAUCCAUUGCUUAUCGAGUGCUUUGAUUUUAAUAGCAGUGGCAAUCAUGUACUUAUUGGGAAACUACAGAAGUCAGUGGGACAACUAGAAAAACUUUGCAAGGAAAGAAUUGGUACAAACUUUGUAAUGCCAUCCACGAAAAGUAGUCACGAAAAUGUGUUUAUAUAUUUAUUCAUUAGAUUUUAAGUUUAUUAACUAUUUAAUUCUUUAUAGCUAGAGACAUUUCACCACUUUCUCAACAAUUUUCAACAUAUUAUUAUAGGUACUAAAGGGCCAGUUGUUAGUGGACUAUUUUAAUGAAAAGCAACAAUUCAGCUUUCUUGAUUACAUUUCUAGUGGAUUUGAGCUCAACUUUAUGAUUAUUGUUGAUUUUACAAGUUUCAAACUUUGAACAUUUUUAUAAAUUCUCUUCACUAAUCACAUUGACUUAAGUAUGGUUUAUUCCAACAUUGAUUUUUUUUUUUCUUCUUUUCCAGCCUCUAAUGGGAAUCCUCGACAAUCUGACUCUUUGCACUACAUUGAUCCUUAUACCCGGUUAAACUCUUACCAAAGGGUACGUAUUGUAAAAAUCAUAAUAAUAUAAACUCACUAAUUAGGCAAUAUGAAAAAAAUAUGUAUUAAACAUAUACAAUGGACUGAUUAAACUAAUUGCAGGCAAUAAUGGAGGUUGGAGAAGUCAUUCAGUUUUAUGAUUUUGACAAGCGCUUUCUUGCUUGGGGUUUUGGAGGUGUGAAACCAAAUGGUACCAUAUCUCAUUGUUUCAACUUGAACUUAAAUGAAAAUGAGUUUGAGGUAAUAAUUUAAAUGAGCCAUUAGCAUUUACUUCAUCUCAGUUUCUUGAUUAAGCUAAACAUGUUUCUCAUUUAAAAUAGGUUAGAGGAGUUGAAGGCAUCAUGUCAGCCUAUGCCAAUGCUCUGUACAAUGUUUCUCUUUCGGGACCUACUUUGUUUGGCCAAGUUAUCGACAAGGCGGUGCACAUUG